ensembl:misc_RNA Metazoa_SRP Metazoan signal recognition particle RNA
GCCGGGUGUGGUAGCGGGCACCUGUAAUCCCAGCUACUUGGGAGGCUGAGGCAGGAGAAUCUCUUGAACCUGGGAGGCAGAGGUUGCAGUGAGCCAUGAUCAUGCCACUGCACUCCAGCCUGGGUGACAGAGCGAGACUCUGUCUCAA